rnacentral:rRNA from 1 species
GAUGAACGCUGGCGGCGUGCUUAACACAUGCAAGUCGAACGAGAAGUGAAGACGGAAACCUUCGGGCGGAAGGCUUUAUUUCGAGUGGCGGACGGGUGAGUAACGCGUGGGUAACCUGCCUCAUACAGGGGGAUAACAGUUGGAAACGACUGUUAAUACCGCAUAAGACCACAGCACCGCAUGGUGCGGGGGUAAAAACUCCGGUGGUAUGAGAUGGACCCGCGUUCGAUUAGCCAGUUGGCGGGGUAACGGCCCACCAAAGCGACGAUCGAUAGCCGAUCUGAGAGGAUGACCGGCCACAUUGGGACUGAGACACGGCCCAAACUCCUACGGGAGGCAGCAGUGGGGAAUAUUGCACAAUGGGGGAAACACUGAUGCAGCGACGCCGCGUGAGUGAAGAAGUAUUUCGGUAUGUAAAGCUCUAUCAGCAGGGAAGAAAAUGACGGUACCUGAGUAAGAAGCCCCGGCUAACUACGCG